UAUAUAUAUAUAGUGUGUGUGUGUGUGUGUGUGUGUGUGUGUGUGUGUAUAUAUAUAUAUACACACACACACACACACACACACACACACACACAGAACAUU
rnacentral:pre_miRNA from 2 species